AAAAAAGGUAAGCUACUAAGAGCGAAUGGUGGAUGCCUUGACUGGUAAAGGCGAUGAAGGACGUACUAGACUGCGAUAAGCUACGGGGAGCUGUCAAGAAGCUUUGAUCCGUAGAUUUCCGAAUGGGGCAACCCAAUGUAUAGAGAUAUACAUUACCUAUAUAGGAGCGAACGAGGGGAAUUGAAACAUCUUAGUACCCUCAGGAAAAGAAAUCAAUAGAGAUUGCGUCAGUAGCGGCGAGCGAAAGCGCAAGAGGGCAAACCCAGUGCUUGCACUGGGGGUUGUAGGACUGCAAUGUGCAAGAGCUGAGUUUAGCAGAACAUUCUGGAAAGUAUAGCCAUAGAGGGUGAUAGUCCCGUAUGCGAAAAACAAAGCUUAGCUAGCAGUAUCCUGAGUAGGGCGGGACACGAGGAAUCCUGUCUGAAUCCGGGUCGACCACGAUCCAACCCUAAAUACUAAUACCAGAUCGAUAGUGCACAAGUACCGUGAGGGAAAGGUGAAAAGAACUGAGGUGAUCAGAGUGAAAUAGAACCUGAAACCAUUUGCUUACAAUCAUUCAGAGCACUAUGUAGCAAUACAGUGUGAUGGACUGCCUUUUGCAUAAUGAGCCUGCGAGUUGUGGUGUCUGGCAAGGUUAAGCAAACGCGAAGCCGUAGCGAAAGCGAGUCUGAAUAGGGCGCUUAGUCAGAUGCUGCAGACCCGAAACGAAGUGAUCUAUCCAUGAGCAAGUUGAAGCUAGUGUAAGAACUAGUGGAGGACUGAACCCAUAGGCGUUGAAAAGCCCCGGGAUGACUUGUGGAUAGGGGUGAAAGGCCAAUCAAACUUCGUGAUAGCUGGUUCUCUCCGAAAUAUAUUUAGGUAUAGCGUUGUGUCGUAAUAUAAGGGGGUAGAGCACUGAAUGGGCUAGGGCAUACACCAAUGUACCAAACCCUAUCAAACUCCGAAUACCUUAUAUGUAAUCACAGCAGUCAGGCGGCGAGUGAUAAAAUCCGUCGUCAAGAGGGAAACAACCCAGACUACCAGCUAAGGUCCCUAAAUCUUACUUAAGUGGAAAACGAUGUGAAGUUACUUAAACAACCAGGAGGUUGGCUUAGAAGCAGCCAUCCUUUAAAGAAAGCGUAAUAGCUCACUGGUCUAGUGAUUUUGCGCGGAAAAUAUAACGGGGCUAAAGUAAGUACCGAAGCUGUAGACUUGCGCACAACUUAGAUUAUUUAAGUUUAGAAUAUGAGAAACUAAGUUAUGUUUAGUUAUAUUUUUACUGAUUUUUAUAGAGUAAAGAUAGAAAUAAAACUUAGUAAAAUCAGUAAAAAUAUUCUUAGGCUAAAGUUAAGUAGUUUAAGUUGUGUGCAAGUGGUAGGAGAGCGUUCUAUUUGCGUCGAAGGUAUACCGGUAAGGAGUGCUGGAGCGAAUAGAAGUGAGCAUGCAGGCAUGAGUAGCGAUAAUUAAUGUGAGAAUCAUUAACGCCGUAAACCCAAGGUUUCCUACGCGAUGCUCGUCAUCGUAGGGUUAGUCGGGUCCUAAGUCGAGUCCGAAAGGGGUAGACGAUGGCAAAUUGGUUAAUAUUCCAAUACCAACAUUAGUGUGCGAUGG
rnacentral:rRNA from 1 species